GCCUACGGGGGGCAGCAGUGGGGAAUAUUGCACAAUGGGGGGAACCCUGAUGCAGCGACGCCGCGUGGGUGAAGGAGCACCUCGGUGCGUAAAGCCCUAUCGGCAGGGAAGAAACAGACGGUACCUGACUAAGAAGCCCCGGCUAACUACGUGCCAGCAGCCGCGGUAAUACGUAGGGGGCAAGCGUUAUCCGGAUUUACUGGGUGUAAAGGGGGCGUAGACGGCAUGGCAAGUCUGAUGUGAAAACCCGGGGCUCAACCCCGGGACUGCAUUGGCAACUGUCAGGCUAGAGUGUCGGAGAGGCA
rnacentral:rRNA from 1 species